UACGGAGGGUGCGAGCGUUGUCCGGAAUCACUGGGCGUAAAGGGCGCGUAGGCGGCGUGGGUAGUCAUCGGUGAAAGUUCAGGGCUCAACUCUGAAUCGGCCGGUGAUACUCCCGUGCUCGAGCACUGUAGAGGCAGGUGGAAUUCCGGGUGUAGCGGUGGAAUGCGUAGAGAUCCGGAAGAACACCGGUGGCGAAGGCGGCCUGCUGGGCAGUAGCUGACGCUGAUGCGCGACAGCGUGGGGAUCAAACAGG
rnacentral:rRNA from 1 species